rnacentral:rRNA from 1 species
GUGGGGAAUAUUGCACAAUGGGGGAAACCCUGAUGCAGCGACGCCGCGUGAGCGAAGAAGUAUUUCGGUAUGUAAAGCUCUAUCAGCAGGGAAGAAAAUGACGGUACCUGACUAAGAAGCCCCGGCUAACUACGUGCCAGCAGCCGCGGUAAUACGUAGGGGGCAAGCGUUAUCCGGAUUUACUGGGUGUAAAGGGAGCGUAGACGGCAAGGUAAGUCUGAAGUGAAAUGCCGGGGCUCAACCCCGGAACUGCUUUGGAAACUAUCUCGCUCGAGUACCGGAGGGGUAAGCGGAAUUCCUAGUGUAGCGGUGAAAUGCGUAGAUAUUAGGAGGAACACCAGUGGCGAAGGCGGCUUACUGGACGGUAACUGACGUUGAGGCUCGAAAGCGUGGGGAGCAA